rnacentral:lncRNA from 1 species
UCCUUCCUGACACCCCAAGAGUUCCCAUGCUGCUGACUCUGCCCUUAGUCUUUUGAUGAUGCUGGGACUAUCUUAGCUUAUGUCAUGACCACAGUCUUUAGGCUCUGGUUUCCCUGGGCUGGUAACUGUAUCAAGCUGAUGUCCUUGGGAGAGUUUGCAAUGGUUUUGUAAAGUGUGCGGUGUGGAUCGGGGACAGAGGUCAGUAAGGGAACACUCUUGGGUUUUAUUUUAAUUUGGAUUCUUUCUAGAGAUGGUGGGUCCCUCCCGGAUCCAUAUGAGACAGAGAGUUCAAAGCAGAGCGGAGGAGACUGACAUUGAAGAUAAGGCUGUCAGUGUACACCCUGAAGAACGGAGGACCAGGUGCUACAGUCUCCAGGGAACAAAGGCUGGUGACCAAGUAGUAAGGAGUGUGGAUGCAACAAGAUGGGGUUAAAUGAGCAAGAUCGGUGUGGAAAACAGGGUGCGUGCGUGGCCUGUGCUCUUGGCGGCUUAGAAGUUUGGGAAUUUAUUUCAUUAAAAUUCUCAGUAUUCGAGAGACCAAUGCAUUAAAGUCCUUCUAUAAUGUAAGAGGUGCGGGUAAAGUGCCUCUUUCUACUUAAGAAGGGCCCUUUUCUCCCCUUCUCCAUUAGCGCAUCAUCAGGGACUAAUUCAGAGAUCAGCAUCUGCUCUGCAUUUCUUAGUGAGUUCACGGGGCAUUUUGUAAAGCAGACGAAUACAUUUUAUAGCCUGGGAGCUUGAAACGGGGCAAUGUCUCGAUAAGGUGCUUAGUCUACCUGAGUUUGAGACUAGAGAACUCUCAACUAAGUACAGACUCUGAGCCUGGAAUUCUGCCCUCUCUCCCAUCCCGCUUCGGUUUGGUUUCCUGAGGUUUACCUCUAGUCACUUAGUUCUCAGUCCAUAAACCCCAACACUUGGACUGCUCCGAUCCCUCACCCUAGCCAUCUCCUCAGCAAAAGAAACGACAGACGCAGCUGCAGCAUCCAUGUAAAAGUCUAAGAGACCCAAGACUAACAAAGUCCUUAUGCCGGGAGUCCAGGUACAGGAGCUAUGUCCAGUGACCCAACAACAGAGGUGCGGACCUUCUGCUCCUGAACUAACUUCAGGAACAGAAGAGAGUUGAGGCGGUUCAGAUAGCGCAUAGGAAUCCUGAGGGAUAGAGAUGGGCUAAGAAAGGGGAGGGACUUCCGGGUCUUCCCUGGGACUGGCAGUAGUAACCAGGAACUAGGUUGCUACCACUUUUCGCGGCCUUCUCGCUCUAGUCACGGCUGCAGAAACCCUCAGAGGGCAUCAGCUUGCCUGUACAUGGUGGGCGAGCAGAAAGUAUGCAGGCACCUGCAGCCCGCUCGUGGGUGGAGCCUGCUAAUGAGCAACUCUGCUGACUGACUGGAGGGGAGGUGCUCAUUCCAGGCCUCUGGCCAGGAGCCUUCUCUUCUGGGCUUGUCAGAGAGCCAGUGCCACAGGCUUCAGGUUCACCUCAAUGGAAAACAGCAUCCGAGCCACAGCCCAGGCCGCCCAUCUCUCUGAAAAGGCUCAGCAUACAAGCUCUGUCCUGAUGGCGGUCCCUCCUGUUGUCACUCUGUGAACGGGGUCUACUGCCUUCUGAACAACUCCUGAGACAACAGUAUAUUCAUUUAAAAUGUCCAUUUUCAGCUGGGCAGUGGUGGCACACACCUUUAAAUCCCAGCACUUGAGAGGCAGAGACAGGCGGAUUUCUAAGUUCGAGACCAGCCUACAGAGUAAGUUCCAGAACAGCCAGGACUACACAGAGAAACCCUGUCUCCAAAAACAAAACAGCAACAAUACAACAACAACAAUAAUAAUAAAUAAAAACGUCCAUUUCCA